CUCCUACGGGAGGCAGCAGUGGGGAAUAUUGGGCAAUGGGGGAAACCCUGACCCAGCAACGCCGCGUGAAGGAAGAAGGCUUUCGGGUUGUAAACUUCUUUUACCAGGGACGAAGAAAGUGACGGUACCUGGAGAAAAAGCCACGGCUAACUACGUGCCAGCAGCCGCGGUAAUAACGUAGGUGGCAAGCGUUGUCCGGAUUUAC
rnacentral:rRNA from 1 species